AAAGAAACACAAGGCAUAAGAUCAUUUUUACAUUUCCAUUGCACGGCCAAAAAUGAAAGUCCGUUCAUAUAUGUGAUUUUCACUUUCUUGUCUGCAAAUCCAGAAACAUAAACACUUUGAGGAUGAUCCUCAUUUGAAUUCUUCGCUUCUUUCACAUUCCCUUCCAACUUGUCGUUGGUUCCUUUCGAUCAGAUAUUUUCUUUGAGGGCGUUGAACCUCCCUUGAUGGGUGCUCCUAAGCAGAAGUGGACAGCAGAAGAAGAGGCAGCUCUUAAAGCUGGGGUGCUUAAGCAUGGGACAGGCAAAUGGCGGACAAUACUUAUGGACCCUGAGUUUAGUUCCAUCCUGCGUCUAAGGUCAAAUGUUGAUCUGAAGGAUAAAUGGAGAAAUAUAAAUGUAACUGCAAUAUGGGGGUCCAGGCAGAAGGCUAAGCUUGCCCUUAAAAGGACUCCACAGACCCCUAAACGUGAUGAUAAUACAAAGGCUUUGAGUGUUGUAGUUCAAAGAAAUGAAGAAAUUGUUGAUGCUAAGCCUGUAGCAGUUUCUAGUGGAACACCGAGGAAUGUUGGUUCAAAAGAAAUACUUGCAAGGUUGGAUAAUCUAAUAUUAGAGGCUAUUACAACAUUGAAGGAGCCAAGUGGUUCUGACAGGGCUUCAAUUGCUUUGUACAUAGAGGAAAAAUACUGGGCACCCUCAGAUCUCAGGAAGUUAUUGGCAGGAAAUUUAAAGCUUCUGACUGCAAAUGGAAAGUUGGUCAAGGUAAAGCAUAAGUACAGGAUUGCACCUAGUUCAGCAGUUUCUGAAGUGAGAAGAAACUCUCCUCACUUGCUUGCAGAGGGAAAGCAGAAGGAUUCUCCAAAAUCAGAGAAGAGUAACACGAGAAUCCUGACUAAAUCCCAGGUUGAUCAAGAGCUAUCAAAGAUUAGGGGCAUGACUGCCCUAGAGGCUGCUGCAGCUGCAGCAAAGGCAGUUGCAGAGGCAGAAGCUGCAAUUGCAGAAGCUGAAGAGGCAGCUAGGGAGGCUGAGGCAGCAGAAGCUGAAGCAGAAGCAGCACAAGUUUUUGCCAAAGCUGCGGUGAAGGCAUUCAAGUAUAGGACUCGCCAUCUAUUAAAUGCUGUUCUCAGCAACUCUUCCUAAAGGUUUAGCCAGUAAUUUGGUAUAGUCUAUAACAGCUUAGCCAAUUUUCUCCUCUCAUAAAUAUGUGACUUGAGUUCUUCAAGUGGAUGUGGGCAUGAGAACAUGCUUCGGAUUUUUCAGGUGCAGCAGUAUAAAUCCCCUAUUUUGUAUAUAACUGUAAAUGUGGAUAGUCUUAUAAAAUCUCGCAAAUGCAAUAUUAAACUAUGAAGACAUGUUCUUUGGUUGGAAAUAUAUAGUUUUUUUCUGUUUUUUUAUUCAAAACUUUAUAAUGAGGCAAAGAGUAGAUAAUCAGAAAUAGAACACGAGAUUGGCUAUUAUAUGCAUGUAUUUUUAAUGGUUAGUCAAUCCAGUGGAAGAGUGAUUUACGUUGAAUGCAUUUAUCUCUUUUCUCUCCA